rnacentral:tRNA from 1 species
GGACAUAUCUCAGUUGGUAGAGAGCCUGCUUCACAUGUACAAGGCCUUGGGUUCAAUCCCCAGGACCA